GUUUAGUGCUUACUCGUGGCCAGCCUUGUCCCUGCCCUGCCUGGUGAGGUCUGAGCUGCCAGGUUCUACUUACUCCGUCACCCGGGCCCACCCAGGACUGGCUGGUCCCUGCAGCGGCUCUAGGAUGUGACUCUGCCCCUGGUUCUGGAGACCACGGGUCAUCAGCAAAUGUACUGAGCACGAAGACAAGGUUGCAAAGGGUAGAUUGGGUCUACCCAGGAAGCAAAGCUCAGGUUCCUGAGGGCUCCUGGAUCCCCCCAGUCUCUCACAGAUGUGAACAGGCUGUCUCAUGUUUCUGCUGCAACGGUUAUGAGCUGCUCCCAUUGCUAUGACUGACUGGGAGCCAACACAAAUCGUCCUUCCCUACUACAGUUGUUUCUAUCAGGUAUUUUGUCAAAGCAACAGGGACUCAGCACAGGCAGAGAGUGCAAGCUCAGAGAAUCGCUGUCCUUAUCAUUCUCUAUCACCCCAGCCUGAAGACAGAAGACUGCAUUUUCUGCACCCCAAGGAGCUGGAACAAUGUCCUCUGAAUCCAUCAAUGCAAUCGGGUUCCUGUAGCCACUGCUCAUGUUCCUGGAAACACAGAGGUUUCCCCAUCACCCAUCAAUGAUUAUUUUUGUUCUUCAUGGAAAAUCCACCAGUGACUGGCAGAUGGAACCCAGGGCUUCUGCAUACAUUAGCUCAGCUAGAAGGGGAAUGGAUAAGGACACAGGACCUCCCAUCUCUGUGGGGGUGUGGACGUGCAUCUGACUAUGCAGUCCCAGCUGGCUGUCAGACUACAGCAGAAGCCUGAGAUCAUCAGAGACCCCAUCCAGUCCCCAGCAACCUGUACAGACACUCUGUGUCCUGUGGUAAAGCACACAGUUGAAUUGUUC
rnacentral:lncRNA from 1 species